CCCUUAGAUGUUCUGGGCCGCACGCGCGCUACACUGAUGCAUUCAACGAGCCUAUCCUUGACCGACAGGUCCGGGUAAUCUUUGAAUCUGCAUCGUGACGGGGAUAGAUUAUUGCAAUUAUUAAUCUUCAACGAGGAAUGCCUAGUAGGCGCAAGUCAUCAGCUUGCGUCGAUUACGUCCCUACCCUUUGUACACACCGCCCGUCGCUCCUACCGAUUGGGUGUGCUGGUGAAAUGUUCGGAUCGGCCGUUUGUCGCGGUUUCCGCGUCAUGUGGCUGAGAAGUUCAUUAAACCCUCCCACCUAGAGGAAGGAGAAGUCGUAACA
rnacentral:rRNA from 1 species